UCCUCGUUUCAAUUCCAUUUUCUGUGGGCUUCGUGAUCGGGAUUUGUUUAUUUUCGAUCGAACCCAGAUACCGAGAUUGGAUUUUUUUUAAUCGCAUUGUGUUUGUUCUUCUGUAUCCACUGGAAUAAUGCUUUUGUGACGUUUCCACUUCGAGUUAGGUUAGGGUAGGUUGAGGAAUUGCGAACUGUUGUCUCUCGUUUUCCAUUAUGAUCUGGAUCCACUAAACUGAUUGGAAGUGUUUAAUUGACGAUUGAAGGCGAAGGAAUUUGAGGUCGGCUGACCACCAGGCACCAACUAGUUUCUUUGCCAGUUUUAUUCUGUGAAGCAGUUCAAAUAAGAAGUUCACCGAUUUUUGUUUUGGGACAAGUUCUGAUGGCUCAACUAGAUUGUGGGUUUCAUUUGUGAAACUAGGCGAU